UUGCACAAGAUGUUUCAUUUCAGAAUGUGAUGGUGUAGUGCAGCUGAUUGAUAUGAGUAACCAAAAUGUGAUGGUGCUGUGCAGCUGAUUGGCAUUGACAUCGGCCAAUCGGCACGUAGCACCGCCUUUUUAAACCUGAUUGGUUGGUGCUUGGGAUACGUCACGUCCGACUCCGACGCACUGGUUUGGGUGUCUGUAGCCGCGGCUACAGUGCAUCGUGUGGCGGUGGCUUUUCCCUUGGCUGUGGUGGCUGGAUGACUGUUCAAUUGCAGGAACUGAGGUUUCCCCCGGUGGAUGACGGGUCACUUUCCACUGGUGGUGGUGUUUCUCUAUCGUGUGCUGUGGACACUGAGUGCGUGAUAGCGUGAUUUUUGAGUGCACUGUGGUGUGUGCGUGUGCUGGGGUAAAGUCUGUCCACUCGUACCCAGUCAGUGGGAACCUCCAAUCCUGGUUUGGUUUUGUUUAUUUAUUGUUUCUUGUGUUUAAUAAUGAAGUGGGAGUUUUUGAUGUAUUUUUAAAGAACCGUACCAUUUGAUAGUUUUAUUCCAAAUAAAUAUUUUUGUACUUUUUCAUUAACUCACGUCUCUGUGCCUUUCUGGGAGAAACGAACCUGUGUCCUUUUCUAAUAGUGUUUCCCUGGGUAAC